UUGAUCAUGGCUCAGAAUUGAACGCUGGCGGCAUGCCUUUACACAUGCAAGNUCGAACGGCAGCACGGACUUCGGUCUGGUGGCGAGUGGCGAACGGGUGAGUAAAGCAUCGGAACGUACCCGAUCGUGGGGGAUAACGCAGCGAAAGCUGCGCUAAUACCGCAUAAGAUCUGCGGAUGAAAGCGGGGGACUCGCAAGAGCCUCGCGCGAACGGAGCGGCCGAUGUCAGAUUAGGUAGUUGGUUGGGGUAAAGGCCCACCAAGCCGACGAUCUGUAGCUGGUCUGAGAGGACGACCAGCCACACUGGGACUGAGACACGGCCCAGACUCCUACGGGAGGCAGCAGUGGGGAAUUUUGGACAAUGGGCGCAAGCCUGAUCCAGCCAUGCCGCGUGCAGGAAGAAGGCCUUCGGGUUGUAAACUGCUUUUGUACGGAACGAAAAAGCCCUGGCCAAUACCCGGGGCUAAUGACGGUACCGUAAGAAUAAGCACCGGCUAACUACGUGCCAGCCGCCGCGGUAAUUC
rnacentral:rRNA from 1 species